rnacentral:rRNA from 1 species
GAUGAACGCUAGCGGCAGGCCUAACACAUGCAAGUCGAGGGGCAGCACAUAAAGUGGUUUACUACUUUUGGUGGCGACCGGCGGACGGGUGCGUAACGCGUAUGCAACCUGCCUCCAACAGGGGGAUAACGGAGAGAAAUUUCCACUAAUACCCCAUAAUAUCAGAAUCGGCAUCGGUUUUGGUUGUAAACUCCGGUGGUUGGAGAUGGGCAUGCGUUGUAUUAGAUAGUUGGUGAGGUAACGGCUCACCAAGUCAACGAUACAUAGGGGGACGGAGAGAUUAGCCCCCCACACUGGUACUGAGACACGGACCAGACUCCUACGGGAGGCAGCAGUGAGGAAUAUUGGUCAAUGGGGGCAACCCUGAACCAGCCAUGCCGCGUGCAGGAAGACGGCUCUAUGAGUUGUAAACUGCUUUUACAAGGGGAUAAAUCGGUGUACGUGUACACCGUUGAAGGUACCUUGGGAAUAAGGAUCGGCUAACUCCGUGCCAGCCGCCGCAGUAA